UGGCAGAAAAGAGGCUAUUUUCGCCACCAAUCAGGAGUUGCCACGUCAGAUAUUCAAUGAGGCCUCAAUACACUCUAUCACACAGGAUUGUAGCUCAAAUAAAACCAAAAAUCACCAAACAGAACAGAACGUGUUCAGAAGCCCUCUCCUCUAACCAACGGAGCUGCCAACGCCUCCUCUCCUCUGCCCAAACAGAGCUGCCAACGCCUCCUCUCCUCUGAUGAACGAAGCUCCUCCUCGCCGCUGGAGCCGCUGCGGCGUCGUUCUAAGUCGUCGCCCACGCACCCAAAUACCGCGGCCUUGCAUACAAUUAGUGCCAUUUGCAAAGGUUAGCAGCAACAUGACACUCACUCAACCAUAUGUCCUUAGCCUUCUGAAUGGCAUUAGUGGCUGACUUCCUCAAAUCUGAGUCCAGAACCUUUACUUUGGUCCUUCAUUUUUACUAUGGUUGUUGAAUUGUCCACCGUGAACCUAGGCCUUUGGGACACAACUGGUAUCAUUUAUUUGAUAGAUAUUAUCAUAUUCUUAGUUUCAAAUAUAAUUUUAUAUUACUUGUAAUUUCAAUUUUUUCCUACUUGUAAUGUCAAUUUGCUCUCUAUAUGUACCAGAGUGCAAUUAAAGAUGUAGUUGGAGCUGUUUUAUGUAGUGUUUAUUGAGUUGUUGAGCAGGGUGUUCAAAUGUACCCUGCCUUUGUUGUGCUUAUGUGGAAUUAAUUUGAAUUUCUAAAAAUUCAAAUUGCAACCAGUUUUGUAUUAAGUUGUUGGAUUUACUCUUUACUUGUAUCCUAAAACAAGUUUGAAAUUAAACAAGUUUGCCAAAUUGGGCAAGUUUGGUAUUGUAAUAGCACAAUAUUUGAAUUUAUUCUCAAUCGUUUCUUAUGAA